rnacentral:rRNA from 1 species
AGUUUGAUUCUAUCGCCAGAUUGAACGCUGGCGGGAUGCUUUACACAUGCGAGUCGAACGGCAGCACGACUUCCGGUCUGGUGGAAAGAGCGGAGAACGGUGAGGUAAUGUAUCGGAACGUGCCUAUAGCGGGGGAUAACUACGCGAAAGUUGAAGCAUACCGGGCAUACGCCCUUCGGGGGAAAGCGGGGACCCGGGCCUCGCACUAUUAGAGCGGCCGAUAUCGGAUUAGCUAAGUUGGUGGGGUAACGGCUCACCAAGGCGACGACCCGUAGCUGAAGCCGAGAGGACGACCAGCCACACUGGGACUGAGACACGGCCCAGACUUACGGGAGGCAGCAGUGGGGAAUUUUGACAAUGGGGGAAACCCCGAUCCAGCCAUCCGCGUGUGCGAUGAAGGCCUUCGGGCGAAAGCUAAUUUUUUGGUAGGAAAGAAAACGGCACGGGAUAAUACUCCCUGUGCAACUGACGGUACUGCAGAAUAAGCACCGGCUAACUAUGUGUCAGCAGCCGCGGUAAUACGUAGGUGCAAGCGUUAAUCGGAAUUACUGGGCGUAAAGCGCGGUGCGGUUCGGAAAGAAAGAUGUGAAAUCCCAGAGCUUAACUUUGAAACCGUACUUAACUACCGAGCUAGAGUGUCAGGAGGAGGUGGAAUUCGCGUGUAGCAGUGAAAUGCGUAGAUAUGCGUGAUAAUUCACCCAUGAUAUGAAGCAAGCCCCGGGAUAACACUGACGCUCAUGCACGAAAGCGUGGGAGCAAACAGGAUUAGAUACCCUGGUAGUCCACGCCCUAAACGAUGUCAACUAGCUGUUGGGGCCUUCGGGCCUGGUAGCGCAGCUAACGCGUGAAGUUGACCGCCUGGGGAUGAUGGUCGCAAGAUUAAAACUCAAAGGAAUUGACGGGGACCUGCACAAGUUGUGGAUGUGGAUUAAUUGAUGCAACGCGAAAACCUUACCUACCUGACAUGUCUGGAAUCCCGCGAAGAGAUUUGGGAGUGCUCGCAAAAGAGAACCUGAAUACAGGUGCUGCAUGGCGCCGUCGUCAGCUCGUGUCGAGAUGUUGGGUUAAGUCCCGGUAAACGAAAGCGCAACCCUUGUCAUUAGUUGCUGGGCUGAAAGGGCACUCUAAUGACUGCCGGUGACAAACCGAGGAAGGUGGGGAUGACGUCAAGUCCUCAUGGCCCUUAUGGGUAGGGCUUCACACGUCAUACAAUGGUCGGGACAGAGGGUCGCCGGAACUUUAGCGAGGGAGCUGAUCCAGAAACCCGAUCGGGGUCCGGAUCGCAGUCUGCAACUCGACUGCGAAGUCGGAAUCGCUAGUAAUCGCGGAUCAGCAUGUCGCAGUGAAUACGUUCCCGGGUCUUGUACACACCGCCCGUCACACCAUGGAUGGGGUUUUACCAGAAGUAGUUAGCCUAACCGUAAGGAGUGGCGAUUACCACGGUAGGAUCUUACAUGACUGGGGUGAAGUCAACAAGGUAA